GACGAACGCUGGCGGCGUGCUUAACACAUGCAAGUCGAACGGUGAAGCCCUUCGGGGUGGAUCAGUGGCGAACGGGUGAGUAACACGUGAGCAAUCUGCCCUUGACUCUGGGAUAACUUCGGGAAACCGGAGCUAAUACCGGAUAUGACAUACGGCCGCAUGGUCUGUGUGUGGAAAGAUUUAUCGGUCAGGGAUGAGCUCGCGGCCUAUCAGCUUGUUGGNGGGUAAUGGCCUACCAAGGCGACGACGGGUAGCCGGCCUGAGAGGGCGACCGGCCACACUGGGACUGAGACACGGCCCAGACUCCUACGGGAGGCAGCAGUGGGGAAUAUUGCGCAAUGGGCGAAAGCCUGACGCAGCGACGCCGCGUGAGGGAUGAAGGCCUUCGGUCGUAAACCUC
rnacentral:rRNA from 1 species